UACGAAGGGGGCUAGCGUUGCUCGGAAUUACUGGGCGUAAAGCGCACGUAGGCGGCUUGUUAAGUCAGGGGUGAAAUCCUGGAGCUCAACUCCAGAACUGCCUUUGAUACUGGCGAGCUUGAGUUCGGGAGAGGUGAGUGGAAUUCGCGAGUGUAGAGGUGAAAUUCGUAGAUAUUCGGAAGAACACCAGUGGCGAAGGCGGCUCACUGGACUGGUAUUGACGCUGAGGUGCGAAAGCGUGGGGAGCGAACAGG
rnacentral:rRNA from 1 species